rnacentral:rRNA from 1 species
AUUGAACGCUGGCGGCAGGCCUAACACAUGCAAGUCGGACGGUAGCACAGGGGAGCUUGCUCCUCGGGUGACGAGUGGCGGACGGGUGAGUAAUGUCUGGGGAUCUGCCCGAUAGAGGGGGAUAACCACUGGAAACGGUGGCUAAUACCGCAUAAUGUCGCAAGACCAAAGAGGGGGACCUUCGGGCCUCUCACUAUCGGAUGAACCCAGAUGGGAUUAGCUAGUAGGCGGGGUAACGGCCCACCUAGGCGACGAUCCCUAGCUGGUCUGAGAGGAGGACCCGCCACACCGGAACUGAGACACGGUCCAGACUCCUACGGGAGGCAGCAGUGGGGAAUAUUGCACAAUGGGCGCAAGCCUGAUGCAGCCAUGCCGCGUGUAUGAAGAAGGCCUUCGGGUUGUAAAGUACUUUCAGCGGGGAGGAAGGCGAUGUGGUUAAUAACCGCGUCGAUUGACGUUACCCGCAGAAGAAGCACCGGCUAACUCCGUGCCAGCCGCCGCCGUAA